GACGAACGCUGGCGGCGUGCCUAAUACAUGCAAGUGAAGUUCAGUGGCGGACGGGUGAGUAAUACGUGGGUAACCUGCCCUCCUUUUUGGGAUAAGCCUUGGAAACAGGGUCUAAUACCGAAUAAGGGGGGAUGGUCUCGCGGCCUCUCUGAUUGUUGGUGGGGUGAUGGCCUACCAAGGCGGUGAAGGGUAGCCAGUCUGAGAGGGGGACCGGCUACAUUGGGACUGAGAGACGGCCCAGACUCCUAAGGGAGGGAGAAGUGGGGGAGAUUGCAUAAUGGGCGAAAGACUGAUGCAGCGACGCUGCGGGGGGGAUGAAGGCUUGCGGGUUGUAAAGCUCGUUCGGUAUCGAACGGGUAGGUGGAGAAGAAGCGCCGGCUAACUACGUGCCAGCAGCCGCGGUAAUAC
rnacentral:rRNA from 1 species